rnacentral:rRNA from 1 species
GAUGAACGCUGGCGGCGUGCCUAAUACAUGCAAGUCGAGCGAACGGACGAGAAGCUUGCUUCUCUGAUGUUAGCGGCGGACGGGUGAGUAACACGUGGAUAACCUACCUAUAAGACUGGGAUAACUUCGGGAAACCGGAGCUAAUACCGGAUAAUAUUUUGAACCGCAUGGUUCAAAAGUGAAAGACGGUCUUGCUGUCACUUAUAGAUGGAUCCGCGCUGCAUUAGCUAGUUGGUAAGGUAACGGCUUACCAAGGCAACGAUGCAUAGCCGACCUGAGAGGGUGAUCGGCCACACUGGAACUGAGACACGGUCCAGACUCCUACGGGAGGCAGCAGUAGGGAAUCUUCCGCAAUGGGCGAAAGCCUGACGGAGCAACGCCGCGUGAGUGAUGAAGGUCUUCGGAUCGUAAAACUCUGUUAUUAGGGAAGAACAUAUGUGUAAGUAACUGUGCACAUCUUGACGGUACCUAAUCAGAAAGCCACGGCUAACUACGUGCCAGCAGCCGCGGUAAUACGUAGGUGGCAAGCGUUAUCCGGAAUUAUUGGGCGUAAAGCGCGCGUAGGCGGUUUUUUAGUCUGAUGUGAAAGCCCACGGCUCAACCGUGGAGGGUCAUUGGAAACUGGAAAACUUGAGUGCAGAAGAGGAAAGUGGAAUUCCAUGUGUAGCGGUGAAAUGCGCAGAGAUAUGGAGGAACACCAGUGGCGAAGGCGACUUUCUGGUCUGUAACUGACGCUGAUGUGCGAAAGCGUGGGGAUCAAACAGGAUUAGAUACCCUGGUAGUCCACGCCGUAAACGAUGAGUGCUAAGUGUUAGGGGGUUUCCGCCCCUUAGUGCUGCAGCUAACGCAUUAAGCACUCCGCCUGGGGAGUACGACCGCAAGGUUGAAACUCAAAGGAAUUGACGGGGACCCGCACAAGCGGUGGAGCAUGUGGUUUAAUUCGAAGCAACGCGAAGAACCUUACCAAAUCUUGACAUCCUUUGACAACUCUAGAGAUAGAGCCUUCCCCUUCGGGGGACAAAGUGACAGGUGGUGCAUGGUUGUCGUCAGCUCGUGUCGUGAGAUGUUGGGUUAAGUCCCGCAACGAGCGCAACCCUUAAGCUUAGUUGCCAUCAUUAAGUUGGGCACUCUAAGUUGACUGCCGGUGACAAACCGGAGGAAGGUGGGGAUGACGUCAAAUCAUCAUGCCCCUUAUGAUUUGGGCUACACACGUGCUACAAUGGACAAUACAAAGGGCAGCGAAACCGCGAGGUCAAGCAAAUCCCAUAAAGUUGUUCUCAGUUCGGAUUGUAGUCUGCAACUCGACUACAUGAAGCUGGAAUCGCCAGUAAUCGUAGAUCAGCAUGCUACGGUGAAUACGUUCCCGGGUCU